AUACGAACCGCACGAACGUUAUUCGGAAUCACUGGGCUUAAAGGGUGCGUAGGCGGUCUGGUAAGUUGGGUGUGAAAUCCCUCGGCUCAACCGAGGAAUUGCGCUCAAUACUGCUAGACUUGAGGGAGAUAGAGGUAAGCGGAACUCAGGGUGGAGCGGUGAAAUGUGUUGAUAUCCUGGGGAACACCAGUUGCGAAAGCGGCUUACUGGGUCUCUUCUGACGCUGAGGCACGAAAGCUAGGGGAGCGAACGGGAUUAGAUACCCCGGUAGUCCUAGCUGUAAACGUUGAGCACUUGGUUGACGGGUCCUCCAUAGCCUGUCAGCCGUAGCGAAAGUGGUAAGUGCUCCGCCUGGGGAGUAUGGUCGCAAGGCUGAA
rnacentral:rRNA from 1 species